rnacentral:lncRNA from 1 species
AUCUCAUCAACAUGUUUAACCCCGCCGCUUUUUUGCGCCUGUCCCAAGUCAGGAGCCUCUGGCCUUUGUUAGUCUUGUAUUAAUUUUAUUUUUAGUUUCUUGUGUACAAUUUGGAGUUUAGUAUGGCGUUCAUUAUUACUGAAAUAGUAUAUAUUUGUUUAGAGGUCAGCUGAAGGACGCCUCGGGUGCGGGAAUUUCUCGCUACAUUGAAGACCUGUUGGUGACCUUCUGCUGUUGUCUUUUCUAUGGUCGGGUUGUUGUCUCUUUGACACAUUCCCCAUUUCCAUAUUCAAUUUU